rnacentral:rRNA from 1 species
AACAAACGCUGGCGGCGUGCCUAAUACAUGCAAGUCGAACGGGUAGCAAUACCAGUGGCGCACGGGUGAGGAAUACAUAGAUAAUCUGCCUUCGAGUCGGGGAUAACCAGUCGAAAGAUUGGCUAAUACCGGAUAAGACCACAAGAUCUGCGGAUCUAGGGGUUAAAGGUUUUUCGCUUGAAGAUGAGUCUAUGCGAGAUUAGCUAGUUGGUGAGGUAAUGGCUCACCAAGGCGACGAUCUCUAACUGGUCUUAGAGGAUGAUCAGUCACACUGGAACUGAGACACGGUCCAGACAACUACGGGAGGCAGCAGUAGGGAAUAUUGCGCAAUGGGGGAAACCCUGACGCAGCGACGCCGCGUGAGUGAUGAAGGCCUUCGGGUUGUAAAGCUCUGUCGUAUGGGAAUAACACAAUGAAUGUACCAUGCAAGAAAGGAUCGGCUAACUUCGUGCCAGCCGCCGCAGUAA